rnacentral:rRNA from 1 species
GACGAACGCUGGCGGCGUGCUUAACACAUGCAAGUCGAACGGAAAGGCCUGCUUUCCCUCGUGGAUUGCGGGUGCUCGAGGGGCGAACGGGUGAGUAACACGUGAGUGAUCUGCCUCCAACUGGGGUAUAAGCCUGGGAAACUGGGUCGAAUGUCCGACAGGACUGCAGGGUGGGGCCGGUGGUGGAAAAGGAGUUGCUAGCGGGUGGGGAGGAGCUCGCGGCCUGUCAGCUUGUUGGUGGGGUAAUGGCCUAGCAAGGCGGCGUGGGGUAGCCGGCCUGGGAGGGCGGACGGCCCUCUUGGGACUGGGAUACGGCCCAGACUCCUACGGGAGGCAGCGGUGGGGAGUGUUGGGCCUUAGGCGGAAGCCUGAAGCAGCGACGCGGCGUGGGUGAUGUCGGCCUUCGGGUUGUAAUCUCCUGUCGACGGCGAGGACGCCGCCUGGUUGGAAGGGUGGUGACGGUAGUGGUAGAAGAAGCACCGGCUAACUACGUG